rnacentral:rRNA from 1 species
UACGUAGGAUCCGAGCAUUAUCCGGAGUGACUGGGCGUAAAGAGUUGCGUAGGUGGAUGUUUAAGUAGAUAGUGAAAUCUGGUGGCUCAACCAUUCAGACUGUUAUCUAAACUGGGCAUCUCGAGAGCGUCAAGGGUAACUGGAAUUUCUAGUGUAGGAGUGAAAUCCGUAGAUAUUAGAAGGAACACCGAUAGCGUAGGCAGGUUACUGGGGCGUUUCUGACACUAAGGCACGAAAGCGUAGGGAGCAA